GGCGCACGCCUGUAGUCCCAGCUACUCGGGAGGCUGAGACAGGAGGAUCGCUUGAGUCCAGGAGUUCUGGGCUGUAGUGCGCUAUGCCGAUCGGGUGUCCGCACUAAGUUCGGCAUCAAUAUGGUGACCUCCCGGGAGCGGGGGACCACCAGGUUGCCUAAGGAGGGGUGAACCGGCCCAGGUCGGAAACGGAGCAGGUCAAAACUCCCGUGCUGAUCAGUAGUGGGAUCGCGCCUGUGAAUAGCCACUGCACUCCAGCCUGGGCAACAUAGCGAGACCCCGUCUCUUU
rnacentral:SRP_RNA from 7 species